GAUGAACGCUGGCGGCGUGCCUAAUACAUGCAAGUCGAGCGAACGGACGAGAAGCUUGCUUCGCUGAUGUUAGCGGCGGACGGGUGAGUAACACGUGUAUAACCUACCUAUAAGACUGGGAUAACUUCGGGAAACCGUAGCUAAUACCGGAUAAUAUUUUGAACCGCAUGGUUCAAAAGUGAAAGACGGUCUUUGCGUCGGUUAUAGAUGGAUCCGCGCUGCAUUAGCUAGUUGGUAAUGUAGCGGCUUACCAAGGCAACGAUGCAUAGCCGACCUGAGAGGGUGACCCGCCACAGUGUCACUGGGGUACGGCCCGGAGGGCUACGGGAGGCAUCAGUGGGGAAUAGUGCGCAAUGGGCGGAAGCCUGAUGCAGGAACGCCGCGUGCGAGAUGACUGCCUUCGGGGAGGAAACCGCGUUCACCUGUGACGGAGCGUGAGUGACGUUAAUGAGUAGAGAAGCACCGGCUAACUACGU
rnacentral:rRNA from 1 species